rnacentral:tRNA from 1 species
AGGGGUGUAAUUUAAAUGGAAGAAUACCGGUCUCCAAAAUCGGAAGUUGAGAGUUCGAUUCUCUCCACCCCUG